rnacentral:lncRNA from 1 species
AGCGCACCCGGGGUGGGGAGGGUGUCGUGGCAGGCAGGGAGCCGCCGGGACCGCCGCGGGAGGGAUGCCACGCCGCUGGUCCUGGCUUUUCCCUUUGGGAACUCCGCUCAGGUGUCUCCCAGCACCCUGCCCCGGGCAGGGGGUCCCCCUUGCCCUGCCAGCUCUCCGCAGGAACUUCUCCCGCUGAACUGGAGGAUGCUGCAAGCUCCUGCGGACGAGCCGGAGGAGUCCUGUGGCAAAGUCAAGGCGAGCAGAGAAGCAGCGUGCUUCCCGGGUGUCACCGCAGCUCGCUGCCGCCAGCCCAGCCUGCUGCGGCCGGUGUCACCUCCAGGACCGGACCGGGAUUAGAGCAGAUUGAUCGCAGCUCUCGCUCCUGCCCAGCCCACCAUGGUUCCCGUGGCAUGCUUCGCACUAUUCGUCAUAGGAAUUGCAAUUGUAGGUGAGCGCCAGGCACGGGGCAAGCAGCACCUGGCUUUGCUGGUUGUGCUGCUGAGAAGAAAGGGGCAGCUCUGGCUGCUGCCUGGAAUUCU